GAUGAACGCUGGCGGCGUGCCUAACACAUGCAAGUCGAACGAGAAGUUAACCGCUGAUUCCUUCGGGAUGAGGAGGUUAGCAGAAAGUGGCGAACGGGUGAGUAACGCGUGGGUAAUCUACCCUGUAAGUGGGGGAUAACCCUCCGAAAGGAGGGCUAAUACCGCAUAAUAUCUUCACUUCUAAAAGAAGAGAAGAUUAAAGAUGGCCUCUGUCUUAAGCUAUCACUUCAGGAUGAGCCUGCGUCCUAUUAGUUAGUUGGUGGGGUAAUGGCCUACCAAGACCACAAUGGGUAGCCGGUCUGAGAGGAUGUACGGCCACACUGGGACUGAGAUACGGCCCAGACUCCUACGGGAGGCAGCAGUGGGGAAUAUUGCGCAAUGGGGGAAACCCUGACGCAGCGACGCCGCGUGGAUGAUGAAGGCCUUUGGGUUGUAAAAUCCUGUUCUGGGGGAAGAAACCUUAAGGGUCCAAUAAACCC
rnacentral:rRNA from 1 species